UACGUAGGGCGCAAGCGUUGUCCGGAUUUAUUGGGCGUAAAGAGCUCGUAGGCGGUUGGGUAAGUCGGGUGUGAAAACUCUGGGCUCAACUCAGAGACGCCACCCGAUACUGCUCUGACUUGAGUCCGGUAGGGGAGUGGGGAAUUCCUGGUGUAGCGGUGAAAUGCGCAGAUAUCAGGAGGAACACCGGUGGCGAAGGCGCCACUCUGGGCCGGAACUGACGCUGAGGAGCGAAAGCGUGGGUAGCAAACAGG
rnacentral:rRNA from 1 species